AUAGGCUCCGCCCACAAACGAUCUAAAGUUGAUGACGCGCUUGCCCUGCAGUGAGAGGUUUGGCAGGAUAUGGAGUUGCACCGUCUCAGUCCGGCGUGGGUAAAAUAAUUAUAAUGCUGAAGACAUCGUUUGGAAGUGCUGCCUGGAUGGUUACAGAGAAAACUGCUGGUGAUCCAAACAAGAAGAGAGAGCAGAUGAUUUGACUGACUGACUGACUGGACAAACGGGAGGAACAUUUGAGAAGCAGGCAACAGUCUCUGAUCUUCAUAACUGCAAAGCUGACAUUUCUGCAGGUCAUUGCAGUCAGAGGGUUUAGAAGUUUCCUGAACGCAAGGCCCUUUGCGUCUUUGAGCAAAUUGGAGUACUUGGAUGCUUGCUGCAGAUUAUACUUACAGUUUAUUCUGAUUUGAGAAAGAUCUCUGCAUCUCUGCAAAUGGGUGGCUGUGCCAAAUGGAGGAUUAAGGAGUAGCUGAGAGUGAAGUUGAGCAGAAAGAGUUGCGGUUGCCUGAUGGGGAGUUUUAAUUGCCUGCUUUUUUUUCUCUCUGUCUGUAACCUUUCAUCGCUCUAAUUAGUCAACAGGUUCAAUCUCAUACUUGCUGUAAUCACCCUUAAAGCCUGUCUCUGCCCACUCUUUUAACACUGUGAUGUAACAGACAGCAAGUUAGAAAGGGGACUCGGGGCUACACGUGAUGUGUGUUGGUGUGUGUGGGUAAAUCUGGCCAAAUUUAGAUUGACCACAUAUAACUCAUCCAAGUUUUAAAAGUUUGUGCAGUUUUAAUAUGCCACAUUUCAAGUUAUGGUAUUUGGGGGGCGAGUACAAGUAUCCAUGUACUUUAGCCAAUUGGAAAUUAUAUAAAAUAAAAUAAAACAUUUUCUAUUCUAUUUUUAAAAGUGAAAUGUAAAUUUAGUGCCACAUGUAUAUCAACUAUGCAAACUGAUGAUAUGCCUGACAGCCAUUAACCAAAUACAAGGACAUUAGGGUGACCAGACCUGUUUUCUGGUGAUAGUCCACAUUUUUG
rnacentral:lncRNA from 1 species